rnacentral:rRNA from 1 species
CCUACGGGGGGCUGCAGUGGGGAAUAUUGCACAAUGGGCGCAAGCCUGAUGCAGCCAUGCCGCGUGUGUGAAGAAGGCCUUCGGGUUGUAAAGCACUUUCAGCGGGGAGGAAGGCGUUAAGGUUAAUAACCUUGUCGAUUGACGUUACCCGCAGAAGAAGCACCGGCUAACUCCGUGCCAGCAGCCGCGGUAAUACGGAGGGUGCAAGCGUUAAUCGGAAUUACCGGGCGUAAAGCGCACGCAGGCGGUCUGUCAAGUCGGAUGUGAAAUCCCCGGGCUCAACCUGGGAACUGCAUUCGAAACUGGCAGGCUAGAGUCUUGUAGAGGGGGGUAGAAUUCCAGGUGUAGCGGUGAAAUGCGUAGAGAUCUGGAGGAAUACCGGUGGCGAAGGCGGCCCCCUGGACAAAGACUGACGCUCAGGUGCGAAAGCGUGGGGAGCAAACAGGAUUAGAUACCCGUGUAGUC